ensembl:lncRNA
GGCUAAUGAACAAGCGUGUUCUUGGUGAUGUGAAAAAGCUGAGCACUCUCUACCAAAGAUCUGCCUUGGAGGGGUUCCACAGUGUGAUUCUGCGGUUUGCACCAAAAAACGGGAAUCAGAGGGAAUCACGGGGUUCGUCUCCGUGACAGAGCCCCCCCCCCCUGCGAGCGACUCCUGGCGCGAGGAGGCAAACGACGUCGGGGUCUACCACGGGGUCGAGGGGCCAGUCUUUCAGGAUGUAAGCGAUGAAAUUCAUAGAUGAGAUUGGGGUCUAGAAUAUCCUCAGAAUUUACCAAAGAGCGCUCCUCUGGACCGUACCCCUCCCAGUCGACCAGAUACUGUAGGAUUCUUCCCCGACAUCUGGAAUCGAGUAACUCUUGGACUUGGUAAGCCUCCUCGCCCUCUAUGGUGAUGGGUUGAGGGGCCUGUGCACGGGACCCCCCCUCUCCCUCGUCUCUGGGACCAGCAGCGGGCUUGAGCAGGGAUACAUGAAGUGUGGGAGAAAUACGGAGAUCUUUCAUGAGGAGAACCAGAAAGAAUAAACCAACAAAAAGGCUGCCAAGAAGCGACGGAAGCAAAUAGUAUCAAAGAAGAGUAAGCUCAAUCUCCAGGAAUACAAUGAUGUCUCCCGAGAAACGUUUGUUAGUGACACUGAAGAGGUUCUGGGGUCCCUGGAGGAGGCCCCUGAGGGCCCGUCUGAGUCUGCGCUGGGCACAGAGGACAACCCUGUUAUCUACAACUCAACCGACCUGGAGGUUUUCUAACACACGACUCUCUGAGAUUUACACAAGCUCCAGUCUGGAUCCAGAACACCUGAGAAGAGAUGAUGCCAACCCCUCAGAGGACCUCAGAUGAUGCUAACCCAGAGACAACAUACAGAACUAACACAUUUUGCUAUAAGUUUGAUUGCAUAAUUGCUGUUAAUAGUGUAAAUCGUCUGUUUGUUUACGUCUUUUAUUGAUUUUUCUGAACAUUUCUGCCGUAUGCACAUGAACUGACAGUCACCACUGAUAAGCUACUACUAAAUAUUGUAGAAACUUAAUUUUCUUUAAAGUUGCUUUGUAAUGAUUUGUAUCGUAAAAAGAGCUACACAAAUAUACUUGAAUUGAAUUGAAUUGAACAGCAAUUAUGAACAAAAAAACUAAAAUAACAGCAAAACUAUAAUAAUUAUAAAACAGUAAAUGGAAAAUAGAAAAAAAAAAUAAGUGUUUUAAAUAUCAUCCUAACUAUAUUUACAUAUUAUCUGCAUAUUUACAUACUAAGUGUAAUUAGUGUUUGUUGCACGUCACAGAUCACAACUGAGUGUCUCUUGCAAAUUGGAUGAUUGCACUUUGUGCAAAUGAUGCUUGUUUUCACAUCCCUCGGCAAGCACCAUUGGCAUCUUUUUCUUUUGGCUGAGUGACCAGCCGUGGAGGAAACUGCUUCCUCAGAUUCCUGCACUUCCUGCACUGCGAGGAAUGUGCUGCCUUGUUUUUAUGAAAGGGGACACGAGCGCUCUUCCUAGCUCCUCCAGAAAAUGCCUCCUCCUGUAGCUAUCCCCCUGUCUCCAGGUCAGAUUUAUUUCCCUCCAGAUGACAAAAGCAUUGUAGGCCGAGACAUCAAUCAUGUUAAAAAAUACGGCCAUGGGCCAGCGAGUCGUUUUCCUUCCACAGGUGUAGGUCGCAACAAUCUGGAAUAUCACACACAAGCAUACACAAAUAUUUAGUAUUACCGCUGUCAUCUAGUGACAGUUAAAUUCACCUUACG